rnacentral:rRNA from 1 species
AAUCAAUUAAUUACACGGGAGUGACCGGCACAAGCUAUCCUGCCCGGUCCCUUCACGAAAGCCAACAAAGUUCUGACUCGAACUAUUUUGCUGUCUUAGGUGAUAAGGAUUCUAGUUUGGUACAUUGGAACGUUUAUAACAUGAUGUCGGGUUUCGAUAACCCUCACCACUGUAGUGUCCAAAGGUAAAAUACUUCUUUGGUAGUUCGAACUACUCCGUAAAUCCACUCCAGUCAUGUUACGAGUGAACUGUUCCUAAGUACUUUGCUGCAGUCCAAAUCCAGUCCAACUCUUUCCUCGUGCCGUCGUUGUACAUUUUCGGAAAGCUUCAACACUUACUCUCUUCUCGUUCGUGGAUACAGCCGCUCCUCUAGGAGCAGCGCCGGCACCGUCCCGCAGACACGUCGACGUGGACAGAACCCUUGUCGUGCAGCAG